GGAUAAUAUUUUGAACCGCAUGGUUCAAUAGUGAAAGACGGUUUUGCUGUCACUUAUAGAUGGAUCCGCGCCGCAUUAGCUAGUUGGUAAGGUAACGGCUUACCAAGGCAACGAUGCGUAGCCGACCUGAGAGGGUGAUCGGCCACACUGGAACUGAGACACGGUCCAGACUCCUACGGGAGGCAGCAGUAGGGAAUCUUCCGCAAUGGGCGAAAGCCUGACGGAGCAACGCCGCGUGAGUGAUGAAGGUCUUCGGAUCGUAAAACUCUGUUAUUAGGGAAGAACAAAUGUGUAAGUAACUGUGCACGUCUUGACGGUACCUAAUCAGAAAGCCACGGCUAACUACGUGCCAGCAGCCGCGGUAAUACGUAGGUGGCAAGCGUUAUCCGGAAUUAUUGGGCGUAAAGCGCGCGUAGGCGGUUUUUUAAGUCUGAUGUGAAAGCCCACGGCUCAACCGUGGAGGGUCAUUGGAAACUGGAAAACUUGAGUGCAGAAGAGGAAAGUGGAAUUCCAUGUGUAGCGGUGAAAUGCGCAGAGAUAUGGAGGAACACCAGUGGCGAAGGCGACUUUCUGGUCUGUAACUG
rnacentral:rRNA from 1 species